GAUGAACGCUAACGGCAGGCCUAACACAUGCAAGUCGAGGGAGAAGCCCUUUCGGGGGCAGAAACCGGCGCACGGGUGCGUAACGCGUAUGCAACCUACCUUUCACAGGGGGAUAGCCCGAAGAAAUUUGGAUUAAUACCCCAUAAUAGUAUUGGAUGGCAUCAUUUGAUAAUUAAAACUGCGGUGGUGAAAGAUGGGCAUGCGUCCUAUUAGCUAGUUGGAGUGGUAACGGCACCCCAAGGCUACGAUAGGUAGGGGUCCUGAGAGGGAGAUCCCCCACACUGGUACUGGGACAGGGACCAGACUCCUACGGCAGGCAGCAGUGAGGAAGACAGGUCAAUGGUCGGAAGACUGAACCAGCCAUGCCGCGUGCAGGAAGACUGCCUUAUGGGUGGUAAACUGCUUUUAUAUGGGAAGAAUAAGGCGUACGUGUACGUUGAUGACGGUACCAUAUGAAUAAGCAUCGGCUAACUCCGUG
rnacentral:rRNA from 1 species